CACGAAUUAGGAUCAAGUUCAUAGAUUGUAUGUCCUCACCUCAACUUCUACCUUAACUUCAGCGAAAGCGAAUGGUUCUGCUACUCUGUCUUCUUCAGCUUUCUGAUAAGACAAAUCAUGAGCCCCAACCAAGGAAGUGGUUUGAAUGACAAUGAUUAAUAACUGGAACACUGGAGGAAUGUCAACUAUCUUUGCACUACUGAGAGAAAACAUAACACAUGGCUUCACUUUCAUCACAGGAGACUGGAAAGUAGAGAACCAUUACACCACACAUUAGAAGAAACUGUUAUCACAGUGAUUUAAUCAUGGAGAAUGAGAUGGUCAAGGCAUGAAGCAAACAUGGGAGUGGUAAGAAAUGCACACAUCAUUUUAGUUGCAAGAUUAAAAGGAAGAGACACCUGGGAGUCCUAGAUGUAGGUUAAGAAUAGCAUUAACAUGUGUUUUAAAUAAAAAGGGUCUGAACUGGGGG